CAGUAGCCGCGGGAAAACGGAGGGAGCUAGCGUUGUUCGGAAUUACUGGGCGUAAAGCGCGCGUAGGCGGUUACUCAAGUCAGAGGUGAAAGCCCGGGGCUCAACCCCGGAACUGCCUUUGAAACUAGGUGACUAGAAUCUUGGAGAGGUCAGUGGAAUUCCGAGUGUAGAGGUGAAAUUCGUAGAUAUUCGGAAGAACACCAGUGGCGAAGGCGACUGACUGGACAAGUAUUGACGCUGAGGUGCGAAAGCGUGGGGAGCAAACAGGAUUAGAUACCCGGGUAGUCCCUGUCUCUUAUAC
rnacentral:rRNA from 1 species